rnacentral:rRNA from 1 species
UAGGGAAUAUUGGUAAUCUGGGAAACCGGGAACCAGCAACGCCGCGUGCGCGAUGAAGGCCUUCGGGUUGUAAAGCGCUUUUUGAGAGGAUGAGGAAGGACAGUACUCUUAGAAUAAGCCUCGGCUAACUACGUGCCAGCAGCCGCGGUAAAACGUAGGAGGCUAGCGUUAUCCGGAUUUAUUGGGCGUAAAGCGCGUGCAGGCGGUCUGACAAGUUGGAUGUGAAAGCUCCUGGCUUAACUGGGAGAGGUCGUUCAAAACUGUUAGACUAGAGAAUGGGAGAGGGAGGUGGAAUUCCGGGUGUAGUGGUGAAAUGCGUAGAUAUCCGGAGGAACACCAGUGGCGAAAGCGGCCUCCUAGACCAUUUCUGACGCUAAGACGCGAAAGCUAGGGUAGCAAACG